rnacentral:rRNA from 1 species
GAUUAAGUUAUUAAGGGCGCACGGUGGAUGCCUUGGCACUAGAAGCCGAAGAAGGACGUUACUAACGACGAUAUGCUUUGGGUAGCUGUAAGUAAGCGUUGAUCCAGAGAUUUCCGAAUGGGGGAACCCAACAUGAGUUAUGUCAUGUUAUCGACAUGUGAAUUCAUAGCAUGUCAGAAGGCAGACCCGGAGAACUGAAACAUCUUAGUACCCGGAGGAAGAGAAAGAAAAAUCGAUUCCCUGAGUAGCGGCGAGCGAAACGGGAAGAGCCCAAACCAACAAGCUUGCUUGUUGGGGUUGUAGGACACUCUAUACGGAGUUACAAAAGAACAUGUUAGACGAAUCAUCUGGAAAGAUGAAUCAAAGAAGGUAAUAAUCCUGUAGUCGAAAACAUAUUCUCUCUUGAGUGGAUCCUGAGUACGACGGAGCACGUGAAAUUCCGUCGGAAUCUAGGAGGACCAUCUCCUAAGGCUAAAUACUCUCUAGUGACCGAUAGUGAACCAGUACCGUGAGGGAAAGGUGAAAAGUACCCCGGAAGGGGAGUGAAAGAGAACUUGAAACCGUGUGCUUACAAGUAGUCAGAGCCCGUUUAUGGGUGAUGGCGUGCCUUUUGUAGAAUGAACCGGCGAGUUACGAUCUGAUGCAAGGUUAAGCAGCGAAUGUGGAGCCGUAGCGAAAGCGAGUCUGAAUAGGGCGUUGAGUAUUUGGUCGUAGACCCGAAACCAGGUGAUCUACCCUUGGUCAGGUUGAAGUUCAGGUAACACUGAAUGGAGGACCGAACCGACUUACGUUGAAAAGUGAGCGGAUGAACUGAGGGUAGCGGAGAAAUUCCAAUCGAACUUGGAGAUAGCUGGUUCUCUCCGAAAUAGCUUUAGGGCUAGCCUCAAGUGAUGAUUAUUGGAGGUAGAGCACUGUUUGGACGAGGGGCCCCUCUCGGGUUACCGAAUUCAGACAAACUCCGAAUGCCAAUCAAUUUAACUUGGGAGUCAGAACAUGGGUGAUAAGGUCCGUGUUCGAAAGGGAAACAGCCCAGACCACCAGCUAAGGUCCCAAAAUAUAUGUUAAGUGGAAAAGGAUGUGGCGUUGCCCAGACAACUAGGAUGUUGGCUUAGAAGCAGCCAUCAUUUAAAGAGUGCGUAAUAGCUCACUAGUCGAGUGACACUGCGCCGAAAAUGUACCGGGGCUAAACAUAUUACCGAAGCUGUGGAUUGUCCUUCGGACAAUGGUAGGAGAGCGUUCUAAGGGCGUUGAAGCAUGAUCGCAAGGACAUGUGGAGCGCUUAGAAGUGAGAAUGCCGGUGUGAGUAGCGAAAGACGGGUGAGAAUCCCGUCCACCGAUUGACUAAGGUUUCCAGAGGAAGGCUCGUCCGCUCUGGGUUAGUCGGGUCCUAAGCUGAGGCCGACAGGCGUAGGCGAUGGAUAACAGGUUGAUAUUCCUGUACCACCUAGUAUCGUUUUAAUCGAUGGGGGGACGCAGUAGGAUAGGCGAAGCGUGCUGUUGGAGUGCACGUCCAAG